rnacentral:rRNA from 1 species
UACGAAGGGGGCGAGCGUUGUUCGGAAUUACUGGGCGUAAAGGGCGCGCAGGCGGCCUUAGAAGUCAGAUGUGAAAGCCCCGGGCUCAACCUGGGAAUGGCAUUUGAUACUCUGAGGCUGGAGUACGGGAGAGGAGAGUGGAAUUCCCAGUGUAGAGGUGGAAAUUCGUAGAUAUUGGGAAGAACACCGGUGGCGAAGGCGGCUCUCUG